ensembl:snoRNA
CAGUCUUUGAGAAAGCCUGUGUUGGAAGGGACAUCUGAGUGUGUUGACGAAUGCCAACGGCUCUGACGGA